rnacentral:rRNA from 1 species
GACGAACGCUGGCGGCGUGCUUAACACAUGCAAGUCGAACGGAAAGGCCCUGCUUUUGUGGGGUGCUCGAGUGGCGAACGGGUGAGUAACACGUGAGUAACCUGCCCUUGACUUUGGGAUAACUUCAGGAAACUGGGGCUAAUACCGGAUAGGAGCUCCUGCUGCAUGGUGGGGGUUGGAAAGUUUCGGCGGUUGGGGAUGGACUCGCGGCUUAUCAGCUUGUUGGUGGGGUAGUGGCUUACCAAGGCUUUGACGGGUAGCCGGCCUGAGAGGGUGACCGGCCACAUUGGGACUGAGAUACGGCCCAGACUCCUGCGGGAGGCAGCAGUGGGGAAGAUUGCACAAUGGGCGGAAGCCUGAUGCAGCAACGCCGCGUGCGGGAUGACGGCCUUCGGGUUGUAAACCGCUUUCGCCUGUGACGAAGCGUGAGUGACGGUAAUGGGUAAAGAAGCACCGGCUAACUACGUG